rnacentral:rRNA from 1 species
ACGUAGGGGGCAAGCGUUGUCCGGAUUUAUUGGGCGUAAAGAGCUCGUAGGCGGUUCAGCAAGUCGGGUGUGAAAAAUCUGGGCUCAACCCAGUGGAGCACCCGAUACUGCUGUGACUAGAGUCCGGUAGGGGAGUGUGGAAUUCCUGGUGUAGCGGUGAAAUGCGCAGAUAUCAGGAGGAACACCAACGGCGAAGGCAGCUCUCUGGGACGUAACUGACGCUGAGACGCGAAAGCGUGGGGAGCAAACAGGA